rnacentral:rRNA from 1 species
GACGAACGCUGGCGGCGUGCCUAAUACAUGCAAGUAGAACGCUGAAGAGAGGAGCCUCCUCUUCUUGGAUGAGUUGCGAACGGGUGAGUAACGCGUAGGUAACCUGCCUUGUAGCGGGGGAUAACUAUUGGAGACGAUAGCUAAUACCGCAUAACAAUGGAUGACACAUGUCAUUUAUUUGAAAGGGGCAAUUGCUCCACUACAAGAUGGACCUGCGUUGUAUUAGCUAGUAGGUGAGGUAAUGGCUCACCUAGGCGACGAUACAUAGCCGACCUGAGAGGGUGAUCGGCCACACUGGGACUGAGACACGGCCCAGACUCCUACGGGAGGCAGCAGUAGGGAAUCUUCGGCAAUGGGGGCAACCCUGACCGAGCAACGCCGCGUGAGUGAAGAAGGUUUUCGGAUCGUAAAGCUCUGUUGUAAGUCAAGAACGGGUGUGAGAGUGGAAAGUUCACACUGUGACGGUAGCUUACCAGAAAGGGACGGCUAACUACGUG